GCGAAGUGUAGUUAAUAAUAGCGAAAAUUUUGGGAGAUGCAUAACUUUUGAAACUAUGUGCACCAGGUUUUUCAAAAACCCAGCCAAAUGCUCCUUAGUUUAUGGUACAGUAUUGCCUACUAAUGCUCUUUGCUUAUGUGAUCUCACUUUUUAAACCUGAGUUUACAUCUUCGUUUAACUUUUUUACUUUUUACUUUUAUUUUAUUGCGAUCUAAUGCACCAAAAAUUUUACGUUCUAACGUAUGUGAUAAUAUAUCAAGUACAUAUACAUUUUUUAUUAUGAGAGUUAUACCGGACUAUGAUAAAACCUUGAAAUCUCCGAAUCAUCAGUACAUCUUGUUCGCUAUAAACUACAUUUUUAGUUUACUCUUGUGACUUUCAAAUAUUAGUUAAAAACUAUGAUUUCCUUAAGAUUUACAAAAGGCGUUAUUCUUUACUUCCUUGGGUGGUGGUUUAUUGGUUUUACAUUAAAUGCAGGAGCAGCCAGCAUGAAUACAGGAACAGAUGCCAAUUUAAGGUGCGGUCAAAGAAAUAA
rnacentral:lncRNA from 1 species